rnacentral:rRNA from 1 species
GUGGGGAAUCUUGCGCAAUGGGCGAAAGCCUGACGCAGCCAUGCCGCGUGAAUGAUGAAGGUCUUAGGAUUGUAAAAUUCUUUCACCGGGGACGAUAAUGACGGUACCCGGAGAAGAAGCUCCGGCUAACUUCGUGCCAGCAGCCGCGGUAAUACGAAGGGGGCUAGCGUUGCUCGGAAUUACUGGGCGUAAAGGGCGCGUAGGCGGACAGCUUAGUCAGAGGUGAAAGCCCAGGGCUCAACCUUGGAAUUGCCUUUGAUACUGGCUGUCUUGAGUUUGGGAGAGGUGAGUGGAACUCCGAGUGUAGAGGUGAAAUUCGUAGAUAUUCGGAAGAACACCAGUGGCGAAGGCGACUCACUGGCCCGAUACUGACGCUGAGGCGCGAAAGCGUGGGGAGCAAACAGGAUUAGAAACCCCUGUAGUCC